UCCCGCUGAACUGAGCUCGCCAAGG
rnacentral:piRNA from 1 species